GAUUGUAACAAUGUCUGUGGUUGCAUAAAGGCAAGGAUAAUAGAUCGUCACCAAAAUUUGCACAAUAAGAAUACAUAUUUCUAUUCCACAUUUUAAAGGCUCGAUAUGAUGUCAGAAUAGGUAUAGAGGAAACAAGAAAUACAUAACAUAAAGAAUGUGAGGUGUGUUGAAACACACUCUUAAACGAAUGAAUGACUGGCAUUGUAAUUGAGAGAAACACUCGUCUCAAAUUAUAAUAGACUUUUUACCAAUUUUUGAAGCAACAUUCUUAUUUAAAGAAUAUAAUAGUUAAUAGUGGAGCAGAAAAGGAGUGCCAUUCUAGAGACGGAAAUAGCUAAGUAAACCAAGAAUGUUUUGCAGCGGCCUGUUGCUGAGUUCAACCAUUAUACUUUGAAACAUCCUUUCUAGUGCAAAAUGCUGGAGCAGGAAAAAGCUUGCUGUCACUUGGUGAAUAAAUAAAAAAUAUAUUUCUCGAGCUACUGAAGCACUCUAGUUUUAAGUGAUUUAUACUCUGUUCAAAGUAGUACAUGUAUAUUCUUCUAUUUCUGGCAAAUUACCCGUUCAAUAUAUGCAUAUGCGGUCACUUCUUCCAUUGAGGCAACCUCUGCACCACUACCUGUACAUAUCAUCGAACUACCAUUGUAUGAGCGAGCGCUAAAAUUGCAGACAGACAGUUGUUCAUUUUUAGUUGUUUACCCACAUGUUUAGGACCUUGAGAUGAUAAUAACGUCUGACUUGAAUUUGUUGGGAAUAAAACCCCUACCAAAAUAAUAUUCACGGUAAUAAAAGCGGAAUAAUAAUGUA
rnacentral:lncRNA from 1 species